GUGGGGAAUCUUGCGCAAUGGGCGAAAGCCUGACGCAGCCAUGCCGCGUGGAUGAUGAAGGUCUUAGGAUUGUAAAAUCCUUUCACCGGUGAAGAUAAUGACUGUAGCCGGAGAAGAAGCCCCGGCUAACUACGUGCCAGCAGCCGCGGUAAUACGUAGGGGGCGAGCGUUGUCCGGAAUUACUGGGCGUAAAGGGUGCGUAGGUGGCCUUUUAAGUUGGAUGUGAAAUACCCGGGCUUAACUUGGGGGGUGCAUCUAAUACUGGGGGGCUAGAGUGCAGGAGAGGGAAGCGGAAUUCCUAGUGUAGCGGUGAAAUGCGUAGAUAUUAGGAGGAACACCAGUGGCGAAGGCGGCUUUCUGGACUGUAACUGACACUGAGGCACGAAAGCGUGGGGAGCAAACAGGAUUAGAUACCCCGGUAGUCC
rnacentral:rRNA from 1 species